GAUGAUGUUAUAGCAUAAGGACAUGAGGGCUUCUCCAGAGCAUAUGGCAUCUUAAGUUCAUUUGCUCUAGCACAAACCCAUCGGGUGUAGGGCUCAAAAGCAACACAAUUCUUUCUUCCUAAUCGGUCUUUUCCUUUUCUGUGAAUGUUGCGCAAAGCAUGUAUGAUUCUAUCCUUCAAACCGGAACUCUCUUCGUCGUUG
rnacentral:lncRNA from 1 species